rnacentral:rRNA from 1 species
GGGAGGAGUGCGGGGAAUAUUGGACAAUGGGCGAAAGCCUGAUCCACCAAUGCCGCGUGAGUGAUGAAGGCCUUAGGGUUGUAAAGCUCUUUUACCAGGGAUGAUAAUGACAGUACCUGGAGAAUAAGCUCCGGCUAACUCCGUGCCAGCAGCCG